rnacentral:rRNA from 1 species
AUGGUUUUCCCAGGAAGGGGAAGGAUCCGUGUCGAUGCUGACAGUGUUCAUAGGGUAUUUGAUCUCCCAAACAGGGGUCAAAAAGUCAGAUAUGUAGUUGGCAAGGAUGCAACUAGGAGAUUUAGAGAGGCUUUCAACAUAACUGGAAAUUCUCAUCCCCAUAUCACUACAUGGUGCAAGAUGAUUCAGGAUAUGGCUGGAAGAACGAAUGACACAUUCUUUAUGGUCUGGCUUGCGGUUUCCUUCAGCACUUUUCUAGCACCAACCAUGGCCCUGAAGCUCAGCCCAAAGUGCUACGGACUUGUGCUAGACCAUGAAAUGCUCAAGAACACAAACAUCUGCCUCUUUGUAGCAGAACACAUAAAUGAAGCUUUCCCGAACAUGGACCAGGAGAAGCAAACCAUCUGCUGCUGCUUGUAUCACUUGAUGGUGAUCAAGAAGGACACGAUCUCUCCUGGUGUGCUCGGCAAAUUACAACUUAAAGAGGAGUAUAGAGGCACGGAGCAGACCACUGUUUGGUGGUAUUUUGCAAGCUGA